rnacentral:pre_miRNA from 1 species
AUGUAGGACAAUUUAUCUUGAAGUAGGGAUAAAUGACUCUAAAAGGAAUGAAUCCUAGAUUGUUUUCCCUUCGAGUCAAAUGUCUUAU